UCUCUUUUCUUAGGAUUUCUAUUUCUAUCUUCCUCUCUCUUCAAUCUUCUUCUUUUUAUAUAUGGGUAUAUAUCCGAUUUGGCCCCACCUCCAACUACCUCCGGUGGAUGCUGGAAGCCAAUAAGAUUAAUAUGUUCCCUACCCCUUUCCAAAAGGGCGUAGAUUACAUUUUGUAUAAAUACGUGUAGAUAAGUUAUGCUUAAACGAUUCUCUGGUUAGAAAUUCAUCAAAACAGUGAGUCAUAUAUAUAUAUAUUACUUUUAAAUAAUUGACUAUAAUAAUUUAUUAAAUAUGUCGAAUAAUACUUCCACCAAUUUGAACGAAGAUAAUUAAUCUGAUAUUUUAAAUAAUGAUAUUAAUAUAUCUUGGCGUAGCAAAGAAUUUAUUGUAAUUUUAAAUAGUGACGAAGAGGAAUCAACUUCAAUAAAAAAUUACACCCCAAUUCUGCAAGUCUGUAUUUAUUAGCAGAUGAAGACGAAAAAAGAAUUGCAAGAACAUAUUUUAGUAUAGAUAAAAAAAAAUAUAUAGACACAAUUUUAGUAAAUUUAGAAAGAAAAAAUCUAUGAAAACAUUAAAAUUUAAUAAUAUGGAAUCAGCAAAAACAAAAGACAAAGUAAAGUAAUUGAGAAAAAGACCACACAAACAUUACCGCAUAACAAGAGACCGCACAAAGAGACCACAAAAAAUAUUAGAUAAUAAACUAAACUCUUUACCAGCGGAAGGAUUUUACAAAAUCUGCAUGAAUCACUUGUAGGCCAGCCUUCAGAAGACAUAAUAAGAGAAGAUCCAGUUGGUUUAAAAAUUAAACUAAUGCCACAUUAGCAGUAUGCAUUAGCAUGGCUCAAGUGGAAAUCCUAAAACUAAAACAUUUGAAGCAGUGUGUGGUCUUUCAGCAGAUAAAAGGUGGGUGGGCACUAUCUGCUAGCCCAAUACAAAAUAAAGAAUUUGAUUUAUACUCCUUAUUAAAAUUUUUUUUAAAUAUUCUCCAUAUGACAACAUCCAUAUAUGGAAAAUAUUUAUAAACAGUAAAAAUGUUAAAGAUCGUGACAGAUUAGGCGUAAUUAUGAAAAGUCUGAUACUUCGAAGCAGCAUUUGGAUUAUUGAAAGAUUCUAUUCUGUCCUAAAAAAUAUGUCACAUGUAUAUAGACUUAUACUAUGAAUGUAUUUAAAAGUACAUUAAUUAUAAAUCAAAUAAUAAUAUGGUCAUAUGGUUAUGGUCCGAUACAAUGGUCCGAUGGUGGUCAAAAGGUAAAAAAAGAUGAAUCGGUAAACUUAGCAUCUGGAUUAUAUAAUCGAUAAACCAACUUAUAUGUCAAAUCCAAAUAAAAAAAAACAAUGUAAAAAAACGCGAAAUAAAUUUACUUUUAAAGCCAAUAAUUCAAGCUAUGUUGGAUCAAAGUGAUGCCGAACAAAAUGGCAUAGUAGAUGACAAUAAUGAAGAUCUUAUAUGGCAUAUAAAUAAAAUGUCAAAAUGUCACUAUAUUAAAAUGAAGAAAGAAUAAAACUUAGGGAUAACGAAGAAAUAGGUAUUGACCAAGAAUUCUCAAAAAAUCUACUUACUUCUUCAAAUCCAGUAUUUAAAUCAAAUCGGUUGAGUUCCAAAAUGAGAGCAGUAAUUAAUACGGUAAAAGAAAUUAUAAAAAAAAAGAUAAACUACUUAUAAUUGUUUCGGAAUGGUUAAGCAUGUUUGAAAUUCUUGGAUCUCAUUUAUCUGCGAUAAAAGGAGCUACGUAUGCUGACAUUUCAAGCAAAGUUUCUAUUAAAAAUCAACAAGACGGAAUAGAAUCUUUCAAUAAUCCAAAUGCUGCUUCGAAGUAUCAGACUUUUCAUAAUUACGCCUAAUCUGUCACGAUCUUUAACAUUUUUACUGUUUAUAAAUAUUUUCCAUAUAUGGAUUUUGUCAUAUGGAGUAUAUUUAAAAAAUUUUAAUAAGUAGUAUAAAUCAAAUUCUUUAUUUUGUAUUGGGCUAGCAGAUAGUGCCCACCCACCUUUUAUCUGCUGAAAGACCACACACUGCUUCAAAUGUUUUAGUUUUAGGAUUUCCACUUGAGCCAUGCUAAUGCAUACUGCUGAUGCGGCAUUAGUUUAAUUUUUAAACCUACUGGUCUUUUGUUGUGCGGUAAUGUUUGUGUGGUCUUUUUCUCAAUUACUUUAAUUUGUCUUUUGUUUUUGCUGAUUCCAUAUUAUUAAAUUUUAAUGUUUUCAUAGAUUUUUUCUUUCUAAAUUUACUAAAAUUUUG